rnacentral:rRNA from 1 species
UACGUAGGGUGCAAGCGUUUGUCCGGAAUUAUUGGGCGUAAAGAGCUCGUAGGCGGUUUGUCGCGUCGAAUGUGAAAACCCGGGGCUCAACCCCCGGGCCUGCAUUCGAUACGGGCAGACUAGAGUUCGGUAGGGGGAGUCUGGAAUUCCUGGUGUAGCGGUGAAAUGCGCAGAUAUCAGGAGGAACACCGGUGGCGAAGGCGGGACUCUGGGCCGAUACUGACGCUGAGGCGCGAAAGCUAGGGGGAGCGAACAGG